rnacentral:rRNA from 1 species
GAGUAAGGACAUACCACCCUGAACACGUCCAAUCUCAUCUGAUAUCUGAAGCUAAGCAGAGUUGGGCCUGGUUAGUACUUUGAUGGAACAAAAUACUGACAGAGGUAAGAAAAUAUAGGCUUGAGCUCU